UACGUAGGGUGCAAGCGUUAAUCGGAAUUACUGGGCGUAAAGCGUGCGCAGGCGGUUGUGCAAGACAGAUGUGAAAUCCCCGGGCUCAACCUGGGAAUUGCAUUUGUGACUGCACGGCUAGAGUGUGUCAGAGGGGGGGUAGAAUUCCACGUGUAGCAGUGAAAUGCGUAGAGAUGUGGAGGAAUACCGAUGGCGAAGGCAGCCCCCUGGGAUAACACUGACGCUCAUGCACGAAAGCGUGGGGAGCGAACAGG
rnacentral:rRNA from 1 species